AGUCUCGGACCCUCACCAG
rnacentral:miRNA from 1 species